rnacentral:tRNA from 1 species
GCCGGGAUGGCGGAACUGGUAGACGCCCAGGACUUAAAAUCCUGUGCUGAGCAAUCAGCGUGCCGGUUCGACCCCGGUUCCCGGCAACA